rnacentral:rRNA from 1 species
CCUACGGGGGGCAGCAGUGGGGAAUAUUGCACAAUGGGCGCAAGCCUGAUGCAGCCAUGCCGCGUGUGUGAAGAAGGCCUUCGGGUUGUAAAGCACUUUCAGCGGGGAGGAAGGCGGUGAGGUUAAUAACCUCAUCGAUUGACGUUACCCGCAGAAGAAGCACCGGCUAACUCCGUGCCAGCAGCCGCGGUAAUACGGAGGGUGCAAGCGUUAAUCGGAAUUACUGGGCGUAAAGCGCACGCAGGCGGUCUGUCAAGUCGGAUGUGAAAUCCCCGGGCUCAAGCUGGGAACUGCAUUCGAAACUGGCAGGCUAGAGUCUGGUAGAGGGGGGUAGAAUUCCAGGUGUAGCGGUGAAAUGCGUAGAGAUCUGGAGGAAUACCGGUGGCGAAGGCGGCCCCCUGGACAAAGACUGACGCUCAGGUGCGAAAGCGUGGGGAGCAAACAGGAUUAGAUACCCUAGUAGUC